rnacentral:lncRNA from 1 species
GGGGGGGCAAUCAAUUUGAGUUAUGUUAGUAACUGAGCAUGCUGUCAGAACAACAGAUACAUUUCUAAUUGAUCAAGAACAUGUUCAUUUUGUGCCGAUAUUGACCUAAACCUUUAACCCUUAUUUCUGAAUGAAUGAUUGAUCAAUAUGGCUUAUGUUUCUUUCCAUUGUGUGCAACUGGUUCUCCAGUCAGAGUUGAGAGGCGAAUUUGGUUCUCGGCCUGUAGUUCCCUUCCCACCAGGAAAUGAGAUGUCUAGACCAGAACCCAGCACAAUGCCUCACAACAUGCUGCCUGUGAUUACCUUUGUUUAUAACUGUGUAUGUAUGUAUGUAUGUGUGUGUGUGGGACAGGGGAAAUGGGGACACAGACAGGGUGGUGAGAAGAUCAUCUGUUACACAUUACACAGGAGACUUAUAAUUACUGCCGGAUGAGGAAAUAAACCGUAUAAACAGUGCCGGUAAGUGUGUGUUUCAUUGUUUGUGUCUGCAGAUGUGCUGGAGAGUGUGAUUACGUGAGUGAGUGUGUAAAUGAGUGACAGAGAGUAAGUGAGAAAGGCAAAGCAACGUGUGUUUAGAUGGAACCGUUUUAUUGUUAGAUAGCCAUGGUCUCUCAAUACUCACAGCUAUGUGUGUGUGUGAGAGAGUUAGAUCAGUGUGUAGCGCGUGAGAGGACUAUGAGCAUGUAGUUUUGACAUGAUAGUCACAAGGCCAGUAUGUAUGGAUGUUCCCAGCUGGAGCAGCAACCAGCGGAUCUGGUUCUAGAAGCUCACGUCGCCCUCCUCAGGCUAGACAGGGUAACACACAGCUUUCCCAAAACCAGUCCUCAGUGGCAGUGUGAGUCAGUCAUCUGGGCCUACUGCUCUGAAAGUAGACAGGGAGCCCCACAGUCCUUUAUUAGGGUCGUCUCUGUUAAAAGGGCUGGCCUGCUGCGGAGCGAGUGUGUGUCUCUAUUGUGACUGGCCCUUUUAUGUGUCGCUCCAUUGUGAUUGGUGCUUUGCCAUUCAUUCUCUAUUGUGAUUGGUGGUUUAGGGUGGGGUUAUGACCUAGCAGUUGGGCCUAUAGUGAUGUCAGGGAUGCCUCAUUGUGGUGCCAUCAUUCCAUUAAAUGAAAGAGGGAAUAGCCAGUAGCUUGUAAUUUCCUUAGAAUGGCUGUGAGAGAGUCUAUUUGGAUAAAGUCUGUUACUCUGUGUCUAAGUGUGGGAGUAUGUGAGUGUGUAUAUGUUAGUAUUGGUAUGCAAGCAUAUGUGUGUGUUGGUAUGCAAUGUGUGAGGGCCUGGUUUAAAAAGAGCAGUGCAGACAGAGGGAGGACAGCUGUAGCACCUCUCUCCCAGAGACAGCCAGAGAGAGCUGAGUCCCCGGCCAUGACACAAUGACCAUAGCUGUGCUCGAAUACCCAUACUAACAUACUACAUUCUUAAUGAGUAUAUACUACAUACUAUUACUUCAUUUUAGAAUAUUGUAAACGAACAGUAUGCUUUCAGUUGAGCGAACUAGCUCUUAGCAUGUCUACCGGAAGUUGAUGCCGUUGCUAUGCAACCGCGUGCAAGCUAGUUAGCAUAACAAACUAUAAGGUAAAAUUACUAGUUAGACAUCAGGUGUGUUCUUAAAAUUCUAUCUGGAGUGCCAGAGUGCGCUCAACCUUGGCGUGAUCCUGGACAACACCCUGUCGUUCUCCACUAACAUCAAGGCGGUGACCCGAUCCUGUAGGUUCAUGCUCUACAACAUUCGCAGAGU